rnacentral:rRNA from 1 species
UACGUAGGGUGCGAGCGUUGCCCGGAUUUAUUGGGCGUAAAGGGCGCGUAGGCGGCUCGGCACGUCCGUUGUGAAAUCGCCCGGCUCAACUGGGCGGGGUCAGCGGAUACGGUCGAGCUCGAGCAAGCUAGGGGGCAAUGGAAUUCCCGGUGUAGUGGUGGAAUGCGUAGAUAUCGGGAGGAACACCUGUGGCGAAAGCGGCUCACUGGACCACAACUGACGCUGAGGCGCGAAAGCUAGGGGAGCAAACAGG